rnacentral:rRNA from 1 species
AUUGAACGCUGGCGGCAGGCCUAACACAUGCAAGUCGAGCGGAUGAAGGGAGCUUGCUCCUGGAUUCAGCGGCGGACGGGUGAGUAAUGCCUAGGAAUCUGCCUGGUAGUGGGGGAUAACGUCCGGAAACGGGCGCUAAUACCGCAUACGUCCUGAGGGAGAAAGUGGGGGAUCUUCGGACCUCACGCUAUCAGAUGAGCCUAGGUCGGAUUAGCUAGUUGGUGGGGUAAAGGCCUACCAAGGCGACGAUCCGUAACUGGUCUGAGAGGAUGAUCAGUCACACUGUAACUGAGACACGGUCCAGACUCCUACGGGAGGCAGCAGUGGGGAAUAUUGGACGAUGGGCGAAAGCCUGAUCCAGCCAUGCCGCGUGUGUGAAGAAGGUCUUCGGAUUGUAAAGCACUUUAAGUUGGGAGGAAGGGCAGUAAGUUAAUACCUUGCUGUUUUGACGUUACCAACAGAAUAAGCACCGGCUAACUUCGUG